rnacentral:misc_RNA from 1 species
GGCAAACACAGCAUGUGCACAUCGCUUUCCUAUUCAUUCAUUUAUCUGAGGAUAUCCCCACCAUUGCCAAAGCCAUAACCCCAUUCUCCUUUAUCUUCCACUCUUUCUCCCACAACACCUCUUGACUCGAUAAAAGUCCAAAAGUACAGCUUCCCAUUUCCAAAAGCCAAAUGCUCUUUCACUCUUUCUCCCACAACACCUCUUGACUCGAUAAAAGUCCAAAAGUACAGCUUCCCAUUUCCAAAAGCCAA